rnacentral:rRNA from 1 species
UACGUAGGGGGCAAGCGUUGUCCGGAUUUAUUGGGCGUAAAGAGCGCGUAGGCGGCCAGACAGGUCAGGUGUGAAAACUCGAGGCUCAACCUCGAGACGUCGGUUGAAACCGUCUGGCUAGAGUCCGGAAGAGGAGAGUGGAAUUCCCGGUGUAGCGGUGAAAUGCGCAGAUAUCGGGAAGAACACCCGUGGCGAAGGCGGCUCUCUGGGACGGUACUGACGCUGAGACGCGAAAGCGUGGGGAGCGAACAGG